UAAAGUGGCGAACGGCUGAGUAACACGUGGGCAACCUGCCCUUUGCACUGGGAUAGCCUCGGGAAACCGAGGUUAAUACCGGAUACUCCAUAUUUGUCGCAUGGCGAAUAUGGGAAAGCUCCGGCGGCAAAGGAUGGGCCCGCGGCCUGUUAGCUAGUUGGUGGGGUAGUGGCCUACCAAGGCAAUGAUGGGUAGCCGGGUUGAGAGACCGACCGGCCAGAUUGGGACUGAGACACGGCCCAGACUCCUACGGGAGGCAGCAGAC
rnacentral:rRNA from 1 species